AUCCAGCUAACGAGUCCCAAAUGGGACGAAACGUGCGUCCUGAAU
rfam:Schistosoma curassoni strain Dakar, Senegal genome assembly, scaffold: SCTD_scaffold0000978